rnacentral:rRNA from 1 species
GACGAACCGUGCAAACGUUGUUCGGAAUCACUGGGCUUAAAGGGCGCGUAGGCGGGCCAGCCAGUCUGUGGUGAAAGCCCCCGGCUUAACCGGGGAAGUGCCGUGGAUACUGCUGGCCUCGAGGAGGGUAGGGGCAUCUGGAACGGUCGGUGGAGCGGUGAAAUGCGUUGAUAUCGACCGGAACUCCGGUGGCGAAGGCGAGGUGCUGGACCCUUUUUGACGCUGAUGCGCGAAAGCCAGGGGAGCAAACGGG